rnacentral:lncRNA from 1 species
UAGCUAUUCCUCAAGGGCAUACGAAAGAAUUAUAUUAUCCUACAAAGAUUCAGAAUUCGAAGUCAAUAUAUAUAUAUAUAUUGUUUAUUAAAAAAAAUCAGAUAUAUUUUUAUAUGAAAUUACCUACUAAUUUGGAUUCGAGAGUGAAGAAAAGUGUUGGGAAAAUCACAACAACAAGGGACAAAUUGUCACAAAAUAACGAGAGGGCAUCGAGAAUUAGUAAUCAAUAAAACACUAAAAUGAAAUCAAUAAAAACCAAAUUCUUUAGUUUUAACCUUAUGAAACUAUAACCGAUUGGAAGUGAGGGCAACAAAUUUGUUCUUCAAUGCCGCAAAUUGAGUCUCCUUCCCAGCAAUAGACCAACAUAGAUUUCAAAAGAAAUCAUUUCAGAACCAAGUAUUGAAAAAAAUGAUGAAAAAAUAUAAAAUCAGGACGAAAUCGUUCCGACGCCGAGGAAUCCCCUUCGUCAGCUGACUCGCCGAUCUCGUCCCGAGGUAGCUAUCGUCGCCUCUGCCAGAAAUCUCGGUCAGAAGAAUAAAAGAGGAAGAAGAAAGUAGAGGAGAAUAGAGGAGAAAGGGAAUAAUGGAGGAGAAGGGG